rnacentral:lncRNA from 1 species
GGGCCUCAGCCUUUAUCUCCACUCUGCGGAGAUUCACGCCUGGAAAACGCUCUUCUGAGAGGAUCUGUGGAGGUCAACCCAGGAGAGAGAAGACAGGACUGAAGCACUGAAAGGGUCCUGCCGUAAGGGCGCAGGAUUGUAUAGAAUAUAUAAUAGCAGUAGCAGCUCUGUUUACGGAGCAUUAACCUUACGUGGAGUUAUUUCCUGCAUUUCCUCCUUUCGUCUUUACAAGGUAGCCGUUUGGCGUCGUGAGGUAUGGAUGUUCCCAUCCCUAAUUUGCAAAAUAGGUAACUGAGGCUCAGGAGAGCUAGACUAGUUUGUGCACAGCCGAGAAGUGGUCAAGCUAGAAUGGGACCCCAGGUUUGUGCUCCCUGCUCUCCACCGAUAACCUAUCAAAGGGCUUUGCAAGAGCUUUUGACUAAUCGUCUGUCAAUGGUUCUUCAUUCACGUAUUAAUUGCACAUCAGUAUGUGCCAAAUCUACUAGACAUUGGAGAAACAGUAGGAACAACACAUGGUACCGGCACAUGGAUCUUUCAGGAAAACGAAGUAGGUAAUAAACAGGAAAAAGCCCGAGUCUGAUGCUAAGAAGAACAUAAACAGGAUGCUGAGAGAUUGGGUCUCUCCACAUUGCCCCGGCUGCUCUCCAACCCCUGAGUUCAAGUGAUUCACCUCCCUUGGCCUCCCAAAGAACUGGGAUUACAGACGUGAGCCACCGUGCCUGGCUGAGAAGAUGGAUUUAAGAUAUGUUUUGGAGCGGAAAGUGAGCAGAAGAGGUGUGCAGUUUCCAGGCCUGGCCCAUACAGACCUCCAACAGGUGCUCCCCUGUGCUGUUACUCCUUCUGCCAACUGGAAGCAGAUGGUGACCAGGCUCUGGAGAAGGCAAGGCCUGAAGAUGGGAGAUUCCUAAGUGGAGGAGAACUGUGCCUUACUGACCUAAAUAUCCACUCAGUAUUGUUAUGUGAGAAUAAAUAAACUUGUGUUGACC